rnacentral:misc_RNA from 1 species
UGCUAUAACCUCUAAGCUUUGUGAAUGACAUCAACUGAGGAGACCUGUACUCCAUAUAAACCAGAUUAACUGAGCCCAAUUCAGAUCAACAGCUUAUAAAUUUUAACAAACGAAACAGAAGCAAAUGUUAUAUUGCAUUAUUUAUUGCAGUACAUUUUUUAAAAAAAUCAACAUGUACACAACUCAUAUUUUCUGUAAAUGUGUACGUUAAAGCCAUUGUCAGAAGAAAGGCAAUACAUGAUUUACUUGUACUGAAAAUUUUAAUACACAUGUAA